UCCGUGAUGGUGUAGCGGUAACAUCGGUCGCUCUCAAGCGAUUACCUCAGGCAUAGCCUGAUUCAGUGGUGCUCGUAGUCCCGACCAGCCCGGGGUUCGACUCCCCGUCACGGAA
rnacentral:tRNA from 1 species